AGCGAACGCUGGCGGCAGGCUUAACACAUGCAAGUCGAACGGGCGUAGCAAUACGGUCAGUGGCAGACGGGUGAGUAACGCGUGGGAACGUACCUUUGGUUCGGAACAACUGAGGGAACUUCAGCUAAUACCGGGAUAAGCCCUUACGGGGAAAGAUUUAUCGCCGAAAGAUCGGCCCGCGUCUGAUUAGCUAGUUGGUGAGGUAAUGGCUCACCAAGGCGACGAUCAGUAGCUGGUCUGAGAGGAUGAUCAGCCACAUUGGGACUGAGACA
rnacentral:rRNA from 1 species